ensembl:misc_RNA Metazoa_SRP Metazoan signal recognition particle RNA
GCUGGGUGUGGUGGCGCACACCUGUAGUCCAAGUUACUCUGGAGGCUGAGGCAUGAGAAUCACUUGAACCCAGGAGGCAGAGGUUGCAGUGAGCUGACAUUGCGCCACUGCACUCCAGCCUGGGUGACAGAGUGAGAUUCUGUCUCAA